rnacentral:rRNA from 1 species
CCUACGGGUGGCAGCAGUGGGGAAUAUUGCACAAUGGGGGAAACCCUGAUGCAGCGACGCCGCGUGAGUGAAGAAGGAAUUCGUUAUGUAAAGCUCUAUCAGCAGGGAAGAAAAUGACGGUACCUGAGUAAGAAGCCCCGGCUAACUACGUGACAGCAGCCGCGGUAAUGCGGCGGGGGCAAGCGUCAUCCGGAUUUACUGGGUGUAAAGGGGGCGUAGACGGGAGUGCAAGUCUGGAGUGAAAGGCGGGGGGUCAACCCCCGGACUGCUGUGGAAACUGUACGGCUGGAGUGCAGGAGAGGUAAGUGGAAUUCGUGGUGUAGCGGUGAAAUGCGUAGAUAUUAGGAGGAACACCAGUGGCGAAGGCGGCUUACUGGACUGUAACUGACGUUGAGGCUCGAAAGCGUGGGGAGCGAACAGGAUUAGAUACCCGAGUAGUC